CUUCGAGCUGAGAAGAUGCAGAGGAAUUUAUGUGUGUUGUUACUAUUCUGUGAAACAGUUUAUUACUAAUGGAAUCGGUUUAAUAAUGGAAACAUUCUGGAGAUGAUACGUUCAGACUGGAUUAUUUUAUAAAAGAUCUGCCCUGAUGAACAAAAGAGGCAAUAUGGAGAAGUUGGUGCCCAUGCUUCUUGUCUGCUCAGUGUUCAUAAUAGAAUCAAAGACUCUGCAAUCAAACUUGAAAAAGUAUGGUACAGUUCACACCAAAGAUGAAUUACUUGCAAAGAAUCACAGUGGCCAUUAUCAAGAAACGUCAUCAUUGUCAUCGCAAAUCAGCCCAGAAAAUUGGUAUGAAUCUAGUCCUGUUUUCUUUCAACAAACUCACUAUGUUGGAUUAAUAAGUGAAAAUGAACCCAUUGGCUCAAGGGUCAGUGUCAUUGGGCAGCUUAGUGUGGCUAACUGUGUUCAUGUAAAAUAUAAAUUGCUAGGAAAUGAUGCCACAAAUUUUGAACUUGACACUAGGAAUUUCAUUUCCACUCAUAAUAAUAUAUUAUUGUCAAGAAAAUCAUUUGACAGAGAAGAUAAGAGUAGAUAUCAUUUAAUUGUGCAAGCAGAAUGUGCAGAACAAGAUGGGGUGAGUCAUACUGUAACAGCAUUAGUGGACAUUUAUAUUUUGGAUAUAAACGAUAAUGUUCCAGCAUUUCACAAUUCUUUCAUAUCAGUUCAAACAGCAUCUGAUCAGUCAUGGAAUGCAAUAGCAUCUGUGCAAGCUUCUGAUGAAGAUGAGAAUGAGAUUAUUGCAUAUAGCAUUGAAGACAAUCCAGACUUUUACAUCGAUCAAAAUAGUGGCGAACUGUUAGCAGAAUCUGACUAUCUUUACCCUGGAAGCUACAGUGUGUCUGUCACUGCUGUUGAUUCUGCAGGCCACAGGAGUAAACCCUUAAAUGUUCGAAUAGAAGUUCCGAGUAAGGUGCUCAAAUUUGAACCAGUCCACAAUCAUCAUGUGUCAAAACGUGCGAUUACAACCAUAUCCAAGAAAUAUCCAAUCCUGGAAAAUAACACCCAAUCCUUAUUUCUGUUCUCUGUCGCCACAUCCCAACCCAGGUCCUUUGCUGAGCGAUAUUCCCUUGUGUCUUCAAGUGUGGAUAUUAUUCUUCCUCCGGAUAAAGAAGGCAAUGUAUAUCUGGUACCAGGAAGGCGCCUGGACUAUGAGAAUGUCACCCAUAGAGUGAUCAACAUGGUGUUUAACAUAACCAACCAGAAUACACCGGAAGAUUUCACCUUGUGCAACGUUACAAUUGAGGUUCAGGACAAGAAUGAUGAGAGACCCGUGUUCAAGAAUGUCCCGUUCCCGUUUCUUGCGACUGUAUCAAGCAGUCCAGGCUUUGGGGAGAAUGUCUACACACUGUAUGCACAUGACCCGGACAACAACAACCGGAUCCUCUACAAUCUUGAGUCAGGUGGUGAGGGCAAGUUUGAAAUCCUCACAGAAGAAGACUAUAGCUCGGGGGAGAUGGUUGGUAAGAUCGUCACCACCGUGAGUGGUCCGGGCCAGUUUGUGUCAGGGGCCGAGUAUACACUGGUGGUCUCGGCACAGGACAUGGCCGCCGGGCUGUCUCCCGCACAGAAGUCUGAGUUUGCGGUCGUCAAGGUGCUGGUCGGGUUACGGCCGCCCCAGCUCUUUGAGAAUCCUUUUGUUGCCAAGGUGGACGAGAACAGCGGCACUGGCUACAGAAUUUUGGGUCCUGAUAACAGAAUCCUGCAAAUUCGCGCCAAACUCUUCCAAGACACUGUCUCCAACCUGACAGAAUUCAGCCUCACAGACGAGCAGGGCAAACUCUCGAGUCUGUUCAGCAUCAAUCGCCAGGGCAACAUCGAGACCCUUCAGAACCUGGACUACGAAGAACUGCCCAACCAGUAUCGACUGAAUGUCACUGUUACAGAGCUUGAGACCAAACUCUCCUCCACAGCACAGCUGGUUGUUAACGUUGUGGACAGUAACGACAACAGCCCCAAGUUUGAACUCUCCACAUACACAGCGUCAGUCCAAGAAGACAUUGCUGUUGGAGCAGCCAUUACCAUGCGAGAGGAAGUGAUUGCCACGGACAGGGAUUCUGGUCUGAAUGGAGAGAUUGAGUACUUUGUCAGUGACCCACAUUUCUCCAUCAAAACCAUGUUUGUCAACAAUCGCUAUGUGGGACGCAUCAGUGUAGCAAGACCGCUGGACUACGACAACGACACGUCCCACCAGUACACCUUCAAGGUGACUGCCCGGGACAAGGGGGAGAUAAGGCAGUCAGGUGUGGCCACUGUCAUUGUCUACGUCACCAACGUCAAUGACGAGGCUCCGGUAUUUGGUACCGGGUCUGAGCACCGGUACACCAGCAUCAGCGAGGAGCAAACCAUUGGGACUGUGGUCACCAUCGUGCAGGCUACAGACCCAGAUGGGGACAAUAUACAGUAUUAUUUCAAACCUCGGAAGACGGACAGCUACCCGUUCCAAAUUGACCCGACAUCCGGCCUCAUCAAGCUCAUUGGCUCGCUGCCAGACUCAAUUCCGUACUACACUCUGAACAUAACGGCCUAUGAUGACGGCUCCUGCUGCGGCGGGUCCCCGGUCCUGUCCAGUGACUCGUACAUCGUUGUGGAGGUCAAGGACACCAACAACAACCAGCCUCAGUUCCCCAGCUGUACGUACGCACCUCAAGUGCUGGAGAACCAGGAUAUUGGCACAGCCGUUGUGCAGGUAAGUGCCGUUGAUAACGACCGUGGCUCCAAUGGCAACAUCACCUACUCCAUAGUGAGGACCCCAAGACAACAGGAACAGUUUGCAGUGGACCCAGUCAAUGGGCGCGUAGUAACAGCGGUACAGUUUGAUCGAGAGUCCAUACCAGGCAAUGGUAUAGUGCCGGUCACAGUGAAAGCUGCAGAUCAAGGCCUACCUCAGAGCCUGGAAUCUCACUGCACAUUCUGGGUAACCAUUGGAGACAUGAACGACAACUCGCCAAAAUUUGAUUCCCCAUCGUAUUCUACUUCACUCAGUGAGUCUUCAGCGACUGUGGGUCGACGGGUGUUUGCGGUGCGUGCGUCUGAUGCGGAUCAUGAACAGAACGCUAACAUUGUGUAUUCGCUGGUGGACAACCCGGGAAAUUUCUGCAGGAUUGAACCGGACACAGGCAUUAUUUACGUUCAGAAGAUGAUCUCCGGGAAAGACACAGUUGUGCUGAGAGUAAAGGCAGAGGACCAGGGUACACCCAAACUGAGUGCCUUUGUGACUGUGACUAUCAGCAUCACUGACCGCAACAGCAACCCACCCACCUGGGACAGCAACACAUAUGAGCGGGAAUACGAAGUGAAGGAAACUGCGCCGAUAGCUUAUGUGAUCACCUCAAUGACGGCUCAGUCAAACACCCCUGCGCCGUUAGACGGAGUGUCGUUUGGUUUGAUAGACGAGUUUGAGAACACAGUGCAGCAGUUGGGCCCAUUUAGGAUUCAGCAGCAGGGCAACAGGGUGACCUUGAUGCUCAGGGGCGUGCUAGACUUCAACGUGAAGAACAGAUACGAGCUGAGACUCAGAGUUACGAACCAAGGUCAGAACCCGCUGUCAGCAGAAAUCCGCCCGGUGAUCGUAGUGAAGGACAUGAACAAUGAGCCGCCGCAGUUUGAGGGCCUCGAUAUGACCCAGAGUAACUCGUACAAGGGCACUGUGCCAGAGAACGAGCUCCCGGGGCAGACGGUCAUACAGAUCAAGGCUGUGGAUCCCGAUCAUGAUCCCCCAAAUAAUGUGGUGCGGUACAGCCUGAUGCCAGACUCAAACGACGCCUACAUGCACUUCAACAUUGACGAGGUCACGGGGGUCAUCACGACCCGUAGUCAGUUUGACCGAGAGCAGCAGGCUGUCUACUACAUCAAGGUCAAGGCCGAGGACGGCAAGGCUUCUGAUGCCCCGGGACAUUUCCCAGAGAACACGCCCAACAGUGCCACUGCCUCGGUGCAGAUCAUGAUAUCUGACAAGAACGACAAUGCCCCGUUCUUCCUGGAGAGCUCCUACAAGGUGACUGUGCCUGAGCGACAGCCGGACAGCAACAGCCCCAUACUGACAGUGGUUGCUCGGGAUAAGGAUGAUGCUGAUCAGCUCAUGUACAGGAUCACAGAGGGCAACAUCAACAACGUGUUUGGCAUCAAGCAGAAGACUGGAGACAUCUAUGUGGCCAAGAUGCUUGACUAUGAGACUCCACCCACUGAAUACAGGCUGCGCGUGAUCGUCCAAGAUGGCCGCUAUGAGAACUCGACAGAGGUGGUAGUCACGGUAACAGAUGUUAACGACAAUCCCCCAGAGUUCUCUCAGAAGGUCUACGAGGUUGACACAGUGGUGGAGGAGACCAACCCCCCUGCCGGCGGGCAGUUCCUUGUACAGGUGUCUGCCACAGACAAAGACAUCAGCCGGCGCAGUAACUUCCGAUACUCAAUAUCUGGCGACGGCACUGACCCAAAUGACCCGACAUUCACCAUCGAGCGUACCACAGGCCGGAUAUUUCUGCGGAAACCAUUGGACCGUGACCUGCCGCAUGGUCGGGAGGUGUACCAGUUCAACGUGGAGGCCGAGGAUGAGCCUGAUACACCUCACUCGCUGACUGGAUUCUCAUAUGUGAAGGUGAAACCCCUCGAUAUUAACGACAACGCUCCCGUGUUUGUGACGAGUGAUCUCCAUGGAUCUGUUGCAGAACACUGCAAUGAAGAUCACUCAGUGAUGACCGUGCGUGCUACUGACUAUGACGCUGGACUCAACGGCACAGUGUUCUACGAGAUAGACAGCUACGGCAACCCACCUGCGUCUGCUAACGGGGAGCUGUUGUUCAAGAUCAACGGGAACACGGGACUGAUUCAAACCAGCUUGAGGAAUUCACUGGACCGUGAAAAGACGUCUCAGUAUUUCCUGCCGAUUGUUGCUAAGGACCGUGGGGAUGAGCAGCGGAAAACCACAGCAACGGCCACCAUCAGCAUCUCAGACAUUAACGACCAGCGACCACAGUUCAUUGAUAAAAUCUACCGUGUGACGAUGUCAGAGAACCAGAAGGCCGGACCAGUGAUCACAGUGACAGCCAUUGACAAGGAUAUUGACGAGAAUGCACGCCUGACUUACACUCUGAAGGACAGUGACCGAACAUACUUCUCCAUUGAGACUAUCCCACCAAAUGCGGGCGUGCUGAAAGUGUUCAAUGAAGUGGACUACGAACGUGUGCGCAGGUUCAACCUGACAGUGUAUGUACAGGACAACAAUCCGGCCCACAGGGACGAGGCCUACAUCGAGGUCACUGUGGAGGAUUACAACGACAACGCCCCACAAUUCAGCCCCAAGGUGCACAACAUUCGCCACCCAGAGAACAUACCAGCUGGGACCAGUCUGUGGAACUGCUCGGCCACCGACAAGGACGAUGGGAUCAACAAACAGUUUGAGUACAAGAUAGACCGUAAGACAGAUCCUGGUCAGAGGUUCACAGUGUCCUCUGAGUGUGAGGUCAAGGUCAAACGAGGCUUGGACGGGGAGACUCUUGAUCGAGAAGCCCUUGCCGGGAAACCAGACCAAAAAUAUGAAGUACAUGUGCUGGCUACAGAUAAAGGCUACCCCCCUCAGACAGGCACAGCUACUCUCAUCAUUUUUGUUGACGACGUUAACGACAAUGCCCCCGAGCUUGUGUACAAAGGUGUACCCAUGGUGAUGGAGCUGGAAGACCCGCCCAAGUUUGUGAUCUUGUUCAGCGCUAUCGACCGGGACACGCCACAAUUUGGCGCCCCCUUCAGGUUUGCACUGCCCCCUUGUGAGGAGAAUCCAACGUGUCAUGGCGGUGUUCUAGACUUCACCAUGCAGUUUGACGAGGACGGUGACCAUGGGCGUGGCGUUGGCAUGGUGACGGCCAUGAGGAAGUUCCACAGAGACCAGCAAAAGUACCACUACCUGCCCAUCAUCACGUCUGACAUGCGGGGAACUAACAGUCCCUUGAGUAAAACGGGAACCAGCACCCUGACCAUCGAGAUUGGAGACAUGAACAACCAUCCACACGCUGACGGGCACAAGGACAUCUUCAUAUAUAAAUACGACUUCAAAGGUGUGAAGGAUGACAUUGUGAUUGGCAACGUGUACGCACCAGACCUAGAUGAUUGGGACGUGGUGGACAAACACUAUUUCUUCAAGGGGCCGCCAGACAUGGCCAAAUAUUUCAGUGUUGACUACAACAACGGGCUGAUCAGAAUGAACAAGGAUACCCCAGCUGGCAUCUUUGAUUUCUCGGCCAAGGUGCAUGACUUUGUCGUGUUCACGCACAUCAAUGCCACGGCUACAGUGAGGGUGGUAGUUCAGGAGAUCACAGAUGAGGCUGUGUAUAGCUCGGGAUCCCUUAGAUUCACGGGCAUGACAGCAGAGGAGUUUGUAAGUCAGCCAAGCAGGGGAGGGAAGAGUCCUUACGAGAAAUUCCAGACCCUUCUUGCUGACAAACUGCGUGUGGUUCGCAGGAAUGUGGCCAUAUUCAGUGUCAUGAACGGUCCAGGGAACCGGUAUGUGGAGAUACGGUAUGCAGCACAUGGCUCCCCCUGGUACCCGGCUAGUAAGAUGGACGCCAUCGUGGCCUUGGAUAAACAUGAGUUUGAGGAUGCUGUUGGCAUAGAGAUCACCAUGGUGACUGUGGACAUGUGCCUGCUGGAGACGUGUGAGUCGGGCGGAUGUUCCAAUGUCCUCAUCGUAUCAGACCUCCCAAACUACAUCAAUGCCAACGGCACGUCAUUUGUUGGUGUGGGGACAUCUGUGGUGGCUGAGUGUGUGUGUGCUGCCACGGAAUUCUCUAAGCCAGUUGAUUGCUCACCUACUCACUGUCUGAACGGGGGACGAUGUGUAAAGGAUGAAUGGGGGGAUGUAAGAUGCUUAGACUGUCCCAAAGGCUUUGACGGGCCUCGCUGCCAGAUGACCAGUCACAGCUUCUUCAAGGGCUAUGCGCUCUACGCUGCCUUCGAACAAUGUGAGGAGAGCCACACCAGCAUAGAGUUCAUCUCCAAGUCCCCUAACGGUCUGAUCUUUUACAACGGCCCAGUGGCUGACCUGGGCCCUAACGAGCCCCUAGACUUCAUCGCCCUUUCCCUGGUGGACGGGUACCCAGAGCUGCAGGUCAACCAUGGGUCAGGGGUUAUGACCUUAACCCUGGAUGGGAGGGACCAGAGAGGUCAGCGUUAUCUGCAGAAGCUGGAUGAUGGACAGUGGCACGUGAUUGACAUUGUCAGGAAAGGAAAGACUGUGAGUCUGAUUGUUGAUCGGUGUGACAUGCUUGAUGUUGGACUGGUGAUGGACACGGCUAUGGACCGCACUCCCUGCGAGGUGACGGGUGUGACCCCCGGGGACAACAUGUACCUCAAUGUGAACACUCUGCUGCAGCUGGGGGGUCGAUAUGUGGAGCCCCGGUACCCGACCUCUGUCACUUCCAGCCGCUUUCAGGGCUGUAUGAGGAACCUGGUACACAAUGGCAAGCUCUAUGAUCUCUACACUGGCCCGUACUCUAAGGGAGAGAACCAUGCCAAUGGCUGUGCUGAGGAGGAGGAGGUGUGUGGAGUGAACUCCCUUGACAGCCCCAAAUGCGGCCCUUAUGGCUCCUGUGCACUGACUGACCUCACCAACUCCCAGUACAAAUGUACCUGCAGGCCUGGCUACAGGGACCAGGGAAGCAAACCCUGUAGUACAGCAACCACAAUUCGUGACCUCAAACUCAACAGCUUCCUGGGUUGGACCCUUAAGUACAGCUUCGUGAACUUUGACCUUCAGUCCCGCACUACAGAGCUUCAGGUGCGGUUUAGAACCCGGGACGCAGAGGGCAUACUCCUGCACCUGCCGUCCAACAUGCAGGAGUUUAUAACCCUGGAGCUGGUGAAGGGACGAGUGCAGGUUCUGUACAACCUGGGGGGUCAGGACGGUGAGUCAGCGCUGACCCUGGCACGAGCCCCAGCCAGUAACGGUCAGUGGCACACGGUCAGCCUGCGCCGCAUUGGUCGCUGGUUUGAGCUGAAGAUGGACGACGGGGAGGGCCGGUACAGGAACACGACCUGGGGACCCAUCGGUGGGCGGGAGCUGAUCACUGUCGAUAUGUACGGCAUUGUGAGCGGGGCACAUGUGGUGUUCAGUAACAACCCAAUCGUGGACAGCUUGGAUCUCAAUCAGACGUGUAUCACUGACAUUCGGCUGAACGGUAAAUGGCUGCCGAUGGUUCAGUCUGAGAACACUCAGAGCGAGGCAGCAACCCUGGAGUAUGAUCACCGCGUGGAGAUGGACUGUGUAAGGGAGGACUGUAUGGGAGUUGUCUGCCCCACUGGUGUCCCGUACGCCCCUGUCUGUGUGCCUCUUUGGGGGAAACAUGAGUGCAGAUGCCCUGCUGGCACCUACCCAAACGGCUACAACUGCCUCCCUAUCGACUACUGCGCCCGAGACACGCCCUGUUUUGACGGAGCCACAUGCAUCACCAAACCUCACCCUGAGAACUUCACAUGUGUCUGUCCCCCGCGCUGGACCGGGCGACUGUGCGAUAUCCAGGGACCUGGCCCUGUAGUGAUGGCUGGACUAACUACUAGCUUCAUCAUCAUCAUCAUUGUCAGCAUUUUUGUAGUGCUUGUGGUUGCGCUGAUGGUGUUCCUGCUGAUUCGCUACAAGAAGAGGACAGACCCAGAGAAAUACAUCCUUGAUGUGGACCCUGAGGAUGACAUUCGAGAGAAUGUGAUGAACUACAAUGAGGAAGGGGCAGGUGAGGAGGAUGAGGACGGGUAUGACAUGAGCCGUCUACGGAAACCAGGGCACAUGGACACAUUCCACGCUUAUAACCCUCUCUUCUUGAAGAAAGGCUCUGGUGAGAGACCAGACGUCGGUGACUUCAUUGAACAACGUCUUGACGACGUCGACAAUGACCCCGGUGCGCCGCCUCACGACAGCGUGCGGGAGUUCGUGUACGAGGGCGGGGGGAGCGACGCAGGCUCACUUAGCUCCCUACAGACCUCCUCCGGGUCUGAUGACCAGGAUUAUGACUAUCUCAAUGACUGGGGACCAAAGUUUUCUAAACUGGCAAAUAUGUAUGGGGGCGACGAAGACCAACAAUGAUGAUUGUGCAUUGUUUUGGUUUGUGUUUCAUUAUCGAGUGCUAAAUAGUUUUUUAACGGGUCCAGCAUUUUUAUCUUUUAUAAGGCAUUUUUAUGUUUUUACAAGUGAAAGUGAUGUGCAGGAUAAAAAUUCUGAUCUAAAUUGGUGGUGUUUUCAUGACUUUGUAUGGUGGAUCUCUAUAAAACACGAAAGUUAAGUGUGACCAAGUGUGUAUUAUGGGCUCAGUAUAAGAAAAUGUAUGACCUAUAAACUUACGAAUUUUUCAUGUGUUGCUGAGUCGGAAACAAUGUGAACAAUUGAGAUUAUGAAUGUGUGUUUUUAUAAUCACGCUGUUGUUGCUCAUUAAAAGACCAACCCACCGUUCAAUGUGAAAUGUGAAUUCAUGUUUAGAUAGUGGUGAUUAUUGUAUUGAGAUUUUUAUUGUGAAAUAUAAAUCAAUAUUUUAUAUUUACUGAAGUUGAACUAGUAGUUAAAAGAUGGUAUCAGUGUUUGCACUGGUCAGUCCUAUGAACAUGCAUAAACCAUAGUUACUCUUAAUUUUGGACACCUUCCUUUUGAGCUAAAAUUCUUAUUUUCAAGACGUGAAUUAAAAAUAUUUUAGUGUCCGAAAACUUAGAGUAAUUACAGUAAUAAUGUGUUAUAAUUGUUUUCAAAUCAAGCUUAUGUUUAGUGUUUACAAUGAGGUUGUGAGCUUUAAGUUACCAUCCAGUGAGAACUUGGCAUAAUUUGAAGCAAUAAUGUUGCUAUAUUUAUGACAGCUGUUAUUUCACUGUCUUGUAUAAAAACAACUAACGAAAAAAAUAUCGUUCAGUUUUAUAAUUGGAAAUAGUUUUCUAAUAUUGGUAAUGAACAUUUUACAGUUAUUUUAAGUUUUAGUGGAAUUUUGCUUCUAGAGAAUUACUAUGCCAUUAGUACAAGUUCAAGUUUGAAUACCUGUAUUCGGCAAACCAUUUGUGUUCUAUUUUCCAUUUACAGUCAAUUAUUAUAAAAUUUCAAAUGUAUUGAAGAUAAUCACAAGUGUUUGUUUUUCAUGUAUUUGUAACUUCAUAACAUCGAAGGUUGUGUUUAAAAAGGUAUCAUUACUAUUUAUUUUUGUAAAAACAUUUUUGCAACAUGUGUUUGCAGAAGAAAGAAUAUCUAUUGUUUAUGAAUGGUCUGCUUUAAAAUUAUGGAUGAUUAUAUGUGUUUAAGAAAAACUAUUUAUUGUGUAGUAAAUCUUUUUUUAAAUCCUCUUUGCAUUUCUAUCUUAAUUAUUCUUCUGUUACAAGCAUGUAAAUUAAUUAGCAGCAUCUAUUGCAAAAAUGGUUCUUAUGAUAUAUUUGAGCAAUGUAUCUCCAGAUAUGACGCUGCAUCCUAUACUGUGUUCUUUUUCAACAUUUUGGGAUAUUUUGCAGCGUUUGGACUAAAAUUGGGAAAUUAGUGUUGUUGCUUGUUGCUUCAAAAAUGCUUAAAAUUGAAAAUAGAAGUGUUUUUAGUCUUAUUUUAUUCACUAAGGUGAAACUUAUAUGGAUGGAUGGGAGAUAAACAAAAUGUUGAAAUCUAAAAAAAAAAAAAAAAAAUUGUUGGCAAAAAAUUCUUCAAUUGGUAAUUUUUAGGUCCCAUUUGGGAAAAAUAUAUACUUGUU